GAUGAACGCUGGCGGCGUGCCUAAUACAUGCCAGUCGAGCGAACAGACGAGGAGCUUGCUCCUCUGACGUUAGCGGCGGACGGGUGAGUGACACGUGGAUAACCUACCUAUAAGACUGGGAUAACUUCGGGAAACCGGAGCUAAUACCGGAUAAUAUAUUGAACCGCAUGGUUCAAUAGUGAAAGACGGUUUUGCUGUCACUUAUAGAUGGAUCCGCGCCGCAUUAGCUAGUUGGUAAGGUAACGGCUUACCAAGGCGACGAUGCGUAGCCGACCUGAGAGGGUGAUCGGCCACACUGGAACUGAGACACGGUCCAGACUCCUACGGGAGGCAGCAGUAGGGAAUCUUCCGCAAUGGGCGAAAGCCUGACGGAGCAACGCCGCGUGAGUGAUGAAGGUCUUCGGAUCGUAAAACUCUGUUAUUAGGGAAGAACAAAUGUGUAAGUAACUAUGCACGUCUUGACGGUACCUAAUCAGAAAGCCACGGCUAACUACGUG
rnacentral:rRNA from 1 species